GAUGAACGCUGGCGGCGUGCCUAAUACAUGCAAGUCGAGCGAACAGACGAGGAGCUUGCUCCUCUGACGUUAGCGGCGGACGGGUGAAUAACACGUGGAUAACCUACCUAUAAGACUGGGAUAACUUCGGGAAACCGGAGCUAAUACCGGAUAAUAUAUUGAACCGCAUGGUUCAAUAGUGAAAGACGGUUUUGCUGUCACUUAUAGAUGGAUCCGCGCCGCAUUAGCUAGUUGGUAAGGUAACGGCUUACCAAGGCGACGAUGCGUAGCCGACCUGAGAGGGUGAUCGGCCACACUGGAACUGAGACACGGUCCAGACUCCUACGGGAGGCAGCAGUAGGGAAUCUUCCGCAAUGGGCUAAAGCCUGACGGAGCAACGCCGCGUGAGUGAUGAAGGUCUUCGGAUCGUAAAACUCUGUUAUUAGGGAAGAACAAAUGUGUAAGUAACUAUGCACGUCUUGACGGUACCUAAUCAGAAAGCCACGGCUAACUACGUG
rnacentral:rRNA from 1 species